AAAUUGAAGAGUUUGAUCAUGGCUCAGAUUGAACGCUGGCGGCAGGCCUAACACAUGCAAGUCGAGCGGUAGCACAGAGAGCUUGCUCUCGGGUGACGAGCGGCGGACGGGUGAGUAAUGUCUGGGAAACUGCCUGAUGGAGGGGGAUAACUACUGGAAACGGUAGCUAAUACCGCAUAAUGUCGCAAGACCAAAGUGGGGGCCCUUCGGGCCUCAUGCCAUCAGAUGUGCCCAGAUGGGAUUAGCUAGUAGGUGGGGUAACGGCUCACCUAGGCGACGAUCCCUAGCUGGUCUGAGAGGAUGACCAGCCACACUGGAACUGAGACACGGUCCAGACUCCUACGGGAGGCAGCAGUGGGGAAUAUUGCACAAUGGGCGCAAGCCUGAUGCAGCCAUGCCGCGUGUGUGAAGAAGGCCUUCGGGUUGUAAAGCACUUUCAGCGGGGAGGAAGGCGAUAAGGUUAAUAACCUU
rnacentral:rRNA from 1 species